rnacentral:lncRNA from 1 species
GGACAAUGUGUUAGGCCACAUUUUCCCAGAAGCAGACCUUGAGAGGAAAGGAAUGAAAACAGUUUAUCCCAGGAAGCACUGGGAAGAGAGAGGGACAGAAGACAGGGAGAGAAGGAGGCCAGCAAAGAGAUGGGGUCUCACUCCUGUUACCCAGGCUGGAGUGCAGUGGUGCAAUCACGGCUCACUGCAGCCUUGACUUCCUGGGCUCACGUGAUCCUCCCACUCUUAGCCUACUGAGUAGCUGGGACCACAGUCCUUUAGGAAAUUUAAGGGCUCAUGGUCUCCUUCAAACUUCAUUGUGGCCUGGGACGGAAGGAAACUUACCAGGGAGACUUUCAGCGGCUUCGCCAAUGUGGCAGAGGUGGAAAGCGAUAACAACUGUGUCCACUCUGUUUCCCAUCCAUCAUUCAUUCAUCCAAGGAAUAUUCUUAAGCACUGUCAACUGAAGAAUGAUGAGGUUCACACAUGUGGAAAGGAGAUCUUUAUUUAUCAUAAACAGAGGCAGCCUGCAGGCCAGCCAUCCCAUAGGCUGGGCAGCAUGGCCUCUGGCUCUGCAGAGAGCAAGCAGUUUGAGGGAAGGGUAAAGGGAACAGGAACUUAUGCUGAGUGAGACGGCUGAAUAUACACACGUAACCAGCGACCGGAGGAGCCAUGAAUACUGAUGAAAGGAGAAACAUGCACAUGCGUGGUCCAGCUUCAUGCCUCUUCUUGGGUUGCAUGUCCAAACAAUACCAGGGUUAGUAUGAUCCUCAAGGGUGGAAUUUUUGGUCCUCAGACAUCAAAAGGUGAAGCAAAGGACGUGAAAACCCUCACGCACAUCCUCCAGAG